CUGUGUGGAGGAUGAGCCGGAAGCGGCCAUUUUAGGAGGACCUGACAGUAAACGACUCGGAAUACUUUGGGAUUGACCCAAUGAUGGGAUCGGAAAUUCAGACCCCCGUAAAGCCUCGCUGUGACGUUAGGAAAUUACACUCUUCCCAAAAGUGUAAAUCGAAACUAACAGAACUUUUUCAUAUCUUUUGUAGCCAAGUGAUCCAGAAGAGUGUAUGCUGAGGAAAGCCCCAACCUGUGGACUUGGCUGCCUUCUAUCUAGGACCUACAGCCCUAGCUUGGGUUGCAGGAAACAAAAAUAUCUUUAGGAACCAAAGAAAACAGAAGACCUGAAGAUUAGCACCGGCAUCUGUUAUGGAAAUCAAGUCUAGUAAGUAUGCUUGUUUAAGAGCUUAAAUGUGAAAUCUGAGGCAGCACAGCUAGCUUUGCAAAACUGCAGUUACAUAAAAUACUUUCUCUUCCCACUUUCCCCUCAGCCCUGCUUUUGACCACACCAGCAAUAUCAGCGGGAUUGGGGGAGAAUGUUAUUUGGAUCAUCUCUGUUGCAAUGAUCUUCCGGAGAUAUUCUUGAUGUCCAUUUCUUUAAUAACUCCUGAAGGUGGGAUAGCUCAUCCUGGAGGCCAGCGAUUGUGGAAGCUGAGAGGCCCAUCUGGGGAUGAUGCAAAGGGCAGAGAAUAUUAUCACAGCUCUAGCUUUUUGCUUGUUAUCUGUCCAUUAUUUCUAGUAUCUUUAAUGGGCUUUCUCCUUCCAGCUAUGCCCUAAAUUCUACUGAAUCUAAGUCACAAGCAGUUUUUUUCACCUGUUAUAUUCCCAAACCUACUCAGAUAACAGAAACAGUACUUCAUUUCCCAAUCCUCCCAGCCACCUGCCUUUCCAGCUCUGUUCAUCUGGUUCAGCGAUCAAGGCUACCCCUUCCAAUUCCUGUCUUCUUUCUUACCUGGACUUCAGGCCUUCCCCUCAGGUAGCAGCGUUUCCAGAGCCUGAUUUGAGGUCCCAGAUAACUGGGUAGGAGUAGCCCUGGAGGUAAAGGGCAGGCUCCCCAAUGUGAGGGAAGUCCCCAUUCCUGGUCAGCCAGGCUUUCAGAGGAUAUAGCAGGUCGAGGCAGCCAUCGAGAAGAGACUGUCAACAGGGAGGGAUUGUCUCGCCAAGGACAGAGUUGAUUCAGCGGGGUUAGGGCUCCUCUAGAGAAGAGCCACACAGAAUUGGGGGGUCCAGGAAGCAUGAGGCUUGGCUAAAGAGAAAAGGGAUGUCAACUGGCAACUGAAAAACAAGAUAACCCAAGUUUCUCCAGUCUGUGUCACAAAGGAGGUAUCCAACCUUUAUCUACUCAAUUCACUAGUUACUACAGUUACAGGCCUCCCCCUCAGAACAGCACCUACUCAUGAUCAACACUCAUCUGCUGUCCUCAUUAGGCUUCCACUAGCACUCAGAGCUGAAAACAGUUGAUUUUAGAGAAACUCGUAAAAUGUGAGCAUGAGAUAGGAAUACUAAUAAAUGAAAACAAGAGAAGAUACCUUCUGCUUUCCAAGCCUUUUAUCUUCCUGGUGACAAGGCUAUUAAAUGAUAACUGUGGAAGAGGAAUGAUGUACCUUCCCCUGAGGAAUUCAGACGUUCUGUCUUUCUACCUUCUAGUAGCAUAUGCCUGGGGGAAAGUCAAGAGCAUUUAGAAGUUUAGACAUCUCACCUGCUGUCUAGGAAACCUGAGAUCUGGAUAAUGUUCUCGGGCAUAUCUGGGGUUAUGGAAUUGUAGUAUCUGCUUAUUGCUGUAGCGUAAAUCCCAGUCCCAGACAGACAGCUGCAAGUUAACAGACUUCUCAGCUGAGGGUGAGGAGUACUCUGGGGUGUACAUUUGUGUAUAGGAAUUAAACUGUAUAGAAAAAAGCAAGAAAAAGAUGAUUAAACAAAAAACUAUACUCCAAAUCUAGAGAUAAAUCAUGAAAUUCUCGUAUCUACUUCAGUUAUCAAACAUACAGCAAAAGUCUAAUGCUGACAAUGAGCAUUAACUUACCCCUCCCUCCCAUAGACCUCACUUCUCAUAAAAUACAUCACUAGGGAAUAAAUUAAAACCAGUGGUCACUGACCUGUGCACUCUGCUUCCCACGCUCCCAGGGGGUAUUCCUUAGGAAGGUAAGUGUAUCGGGAACCCUGACACUGUCAUGAAGAGCAAGAAGGAAAAACUCAGAGAAUUCAAACUCCACUGGAAACUGCUGGAGGAGCUGCCAGACACAGUCAAGGAAAAGAAGAAACACUGGGGCCUGAGAAGAAAGACAUUUAGAGGUCAGAGGGCUCACAGAAACAUAUAAGAAAUGAUAAUGGAGACACAGGGAACCAGGCAUUAAAGAGGUCAGGGGAGCAGUCCUAACUGAAGUAAUGGCCUCUCUCAUCCUAGUCUAAGCUCAGCCUAACCUUGAGACCCUUCUAAUCUAAUCCACCUUCUGUAGAUUAUGCCAUGUGCUUUUUUUCUCCCCUUAUUUGCUUAAUAAUGCCUCCCACCAUCCCAUGCCUUCCCCCCAGAUUUUUCUCACCUCUUCACUGGCCCCAGUUCCCCCAAGCCGAGUCAAGAAGGGGUGUCCAGCUGCCACCCACUCUCGCUGCACUAGUGCUUGGAAGCCAAACAACGUUCGGGCUUCAGGAGCUGAAAGCAGCUGGACGAGUGAAGAGAGGAGGCCAUUGAAAUCACGAUCACCGCGCUCUGGGUGAUAAAGAGGAAGAAGGGACAAAGAAGGGAAGUCCAAGAAACUAGGGCAGGAGAGAAUGAGAGGAAGAAGUAUGGCAAGGAGAAGUGGGGCACAGAAGGGGAAAGUUAGGGGUAGUCAGGAUUGAGAGGACACAAAGAAUACAAAGAGCUUGAAUGAUUCACUUGUUUAGGAUUCUCAUACUAGACCGAAAUAUCCACUUUUACAUGUAAGAGGCAGAAUUGGUUCUUACGUCAGCUUCCACCCAGCUACAUUUUCCAUCCACUGAUGGAAAGUGGGGCGAGGGGUUAGCACAGCCUCCUGUUAGGAGGAACAAACUAGUGGGAGGUGGGGCCGCUGCUGAAGGAUGAAGAGUUAGAGCUCAUGAGUAGUUACUAGUAACAGGAGGGGAGAAUGCUAGCACUAAAAGAGGAUAGGGAGCUUUACAAAUCUCGCUCCCUGAACAGAAUUGAGUUAGUGUGUAGAGGAAACAGGCUGACCCAGGAAACUCACCUUGAAGUACUACGGAACGAACCCUGGACGUCACUAAAACUGAAAUAUCACUGGCCUUACGCAGACAAGACCUGAAGGAAGAAGGGGGUAAAUGAUUAGCCUGAGAGAAAGGAGACAUGGGGUCAUGGGAUCGAACAGAAGUAAACUCCAAAAUCCUGCCUCUUCUAAGAAGCAGGAAUAACAGUCUUAGGAAUCAGAGAAGUGUUCAUCAAAGGCAGUUUAGGAGGCCACAUUAGCAGAAGUUGAGAAGCUGAAAUUAGAGUUAGGGGAAGGGUACCUGACAUGGUCCAGCCAUCGUGUUCCUUCCAGGGCUGAGAGCCACUUAUCCUCAGACACAGAAGAGUCUGGCAGAGGGUAGAGGGGUCAGAAGGGCAAAAAAGUCAGAACUUGGGAUUCAUUUAGCCCAAUAGGUUAAAUGUCAAGUAGUGGUUACCUAAGAGUAAGGGUGGGAAUGAAAAGUGGCCAUAAGUUUUCUAAAAUUAUAUUUUGGAGAAUAUAGCUCAAGGGUAAAGAACUUGCCUAGCAUGGGCAAGGCCUUGGGUUCACUUUCUAGCACCAUAAAAAAAGUUUUGUUGAUGGUUCCUCAUUGUAAAUAUAUUAAGAUUCAUUGCAUACUUAAGAUGGGCAAAGUUUAUAAAGUAUAAAGCUGUUUUUUAAAGGAAUGAGUUGGGUGUAGAAGAUAAUUAGUAAAUGUGUAGGAGGUAGGAGCAAGGUGUGGUAGCACAGCCCUAUAAACCUAGCACUCCAGAAAGCUGAAGUAUGAGAAUCCUAAAGAAGAGAUCCUGUCUCAAAAAAUAAAAUGGACUGGGGAUGUAGCUUUAUCCUAGAUUCAAUGCCCAGUACUGGGGGGGGAGGGGAGGGAGAGAGACAAAAACCUAUGGAUCAUUGGGUUAAAGGAUUUGUUAUCAAUAACAGAAGGAUUAGAAUGAGAGGCCAGAAGUUAAUCUCACCAGGAAGACAGAGUGCCCUCAGCUUCAAGUGUGCAAGCUGGACAUCUGCAAGGCUGGGCAGCUCAUCCAUCGUGUCUACUAGUACAACAUCAGAAUGCCCAGCCUGGAGCAUUGACUCCACUGCUCUGGAAGAAAGAGAGUCCAGAAUGAAAGGAAGGAGAUGAUCCUGAGCACCUAACCCUUGAGUCUUCCCACCAAGCCCCCUUACCUAAUAUCCUCCUUGUUAGGGUCACUGGCUGUAUAAAAGCCUCCACAUCGGAGAAGAUCACUGCCCCCAGGGUGAUGCCAGGACAGGCGCUUCAGAUGGGGGAGAAGAGGGUCACUGUGGGAGAUGCUAGCUCCAAGCUACCCUAGCCUUCAUGGUAAACUCACAGAGAGCCCUGUCCACGUUGUCCCCAUAUCCUCCCAUGCCCCAUCCCCAGCCAUUAUUCUAACUAUUACACUGACCGGUCCACGGCCCUGAUGGAAGUGGCCAAAUGCUCUCCUGACCUCGUUAUCCAGAGUUCUGUUAGGGACCCAGAAGUAACGGGGGAGGCUGUGAAAUUGAGAAGGAUGUCUCAGAUGAUUGGCUCAGUGACCUCAUUAAAAUGUAAAGCUGUUAAUACAAGGAAUCUGCUUGAGGGAUUUCAAGUUUGGAGAGCAAGGAGGUAGCAAGGACAGUUCACACAUGUACUGGGGGCAAGAGUUUAUAGGAAGUCCUAAUUUUAGAAGAUCAGGGAACUGUGAGAAUUGGGAGGGCAGCAGGGUUUGGGGUUCCUGGAGUGGGAGAUCACCUGGUAGCUAUGUCGAACCUCUCAUUGACAGUGCUAAGCCUCCAGCCUCUGGCUCCCUGCUUCUUUCGCUCACUUUCCCAGUCUUCCAAUGUCUCCAACAGAGGUAUAGGUGGUUUUCUGAAGCCAGAACCCUGGGCUGGGCAAGAAUGAGGAAUAGAGGAGGAAGAGGUACCAGAGGCAGCUUCUCUCCUCAUUUGUCCUCAGCCACCCUCUGUUUUUUCAAACUGUACUUUUUCUUUACCCUAAAGCGCCUCACUCACCAGCCUUCCUUUGAGUUAUCCCCACAUACAGCUGGGUUUGACUGCUCUGAGCUCUGGCUUGGACAAUGGCCAUGGUCACCUUAGAAGAAAGCACAUCCCAUCCUUUUGUUUUAAGCAAAAGAAGUAAAAAGGAAAUGGAGGCCUUGUGUUCCUCCAUGUCUUUACCAUCAACAGAGAAGAGUUACCAUCAACAGAGAAGAGCAGCAGAAACAGAUCCCAGAGAAGGGAGGACCCACAGGUCAUGGGGACUGGGAUUAGGAGAACAAAUUUAAAGCCAUCAAAUCAUAAAAUUAAAUUUUGGGAAGAAUUUUAGGAAUACUAUCAUCCAACCCUUCCCAUUUUUCAGAGGCACAAACUUGCCAACAGUCACAUUGCUGCCAGUUGGCAGAGGUAGGCUAGAAUUCAGGCCCUUUGAGCUCAUGGUAUUAUACUUCUCUCAGCCUUUCAGCCUCUCCUUGAGGAGAAAAGCAAGAGGAAUGAUGAGAGAGACCCUGAAGGACAGGAAAAAAGAAGUGCCAGGAAGAGGACGCCCAAAUUGCAAGAAGAGGAAUCUUCAAGUUCAAAGCUCCUUACCUGAAAGGCCUGAGGUUCUAAUCCUCCAGCCUCAAAACCAACCCUAAGCAGUCGGAAGUCUUGGCCAUGAAUCAGAAUCUCCUCAGGGAUAAAUUUAAGCUGUGAUCCUGGACGGAGGAGCUGAACUCGUGAUAAGCCACUCACUGAAGUUGAGAAUUAGAGAGCUAUAUAACCAUAUGGUCCCUCUGGGAGGAACUUGUCCAACUCAUCCCACCCAUCCCUUGCUAUCUUUCAGCAUAGAAAAUAGAUAGAGGUUCCAACACCCUGCUAAGCUCCCAGACUUACCAGCCUCUAAUCGCCCAAUGUUGACCAAGGCAAAAUCAUAUUCACUGCUCAGGGGAGUGUCCUAGAGGAAGCAUAUGAACAAUGAUGCAAACAUCUGAAAUAACCUUGCUUUCUCUUGAUGGUCCCACUCCCCCUCUAGGGAGCAACUCCCCUAAAAAUCCCCCCUACUUUUGAGAUAGGGUCUCACGUUGGAAUUAAGGCUGGCCUUGAAUCAUUGGCCUCAAUCUUGGUAAUCCUCCUGUCUCAGCUUCAGGAGCAUCAGUACGCACCACCACACUUGGCUCAAAUAUAAUCCCCUUUGACUAUCUCUAAGGCAUUCAAAAGAUAGCCUUUUACCCUUUUGUCUGAAUCUACCUAGACUUCCUUACCCAUUUCAUGCUGUCUUGUCUGUGGCCCUAACCAUUUCACCUGACUCCGCUGCCAUCCACAGGGCUGGAAGGUAACCCUAAAGUUGGUGCAUAUCAGGGUUCCAGGCAAUUCAGGUUCCAAUCCUUUCCUCAGUCCUGGGGACCAUGCUAGUAUCUGCUCCCCUAAGGAAAAAGAAGGAAAACCAGGUUAUGACUGUCCAGAGUGCUGCCCAUAUUAUAUACACCUGUUUCUCUAAGAGGAUAUAGAGGGAAGAUUAAAAUCCUUCCUUGAACCCAUCAGUUUAAGGAAAAAGAAUGUGUUGUUUUUUUUUUUUUUAAAUCUCUAUAACCAGAAUAGCACACAGAAUAGGGCCUAACAUAUAGUAGACAGUUACUGAAUAAGUGAGAAAAAUGGCAACAGGGUCAAGAAAAGAGAGGGAACAGUAAGGUCCAAAUUGUCAGCCAGGCCUGGAUAGAGAAACUAGCAAGCCUCAGACAGGGAGGAGCAUUUUGAACCAGGAAAGAGCUGCAGAGCUGUCUUUGGUGAAGGCAGGAACAAAUGGGGUGGGAUGAAAUUUAGAGGGCUCUUAGGAGAUCAGAUCAUUACCUGGAAGGCAUCCAGAGGCCAGGCAGCUGCCAGGCUGACCACUCCUAUUCUCCAGCAUCCUGCUUCCCUAGACAGAAUUUGGUCCAGAGGGCUGGAAAGGUGCAGCUUCAAUCCCAGGUCUCCCCAACCCUGGAUCUGGGAUUCCUUAGAGGCCCACACUCAGAUUCUGGGGAAACAGAUCUGUAUCUAUGGGAGCUCCGGACUGAGGCUGGCAGAGGCUAAAGGGAGGGGCUGGUUAAUGGGUAAUGAGACCACGAACUUGAGACUAAAAAAGGCAGACCAAACUCCAUCAGCAGACACACCUUCCUCUCCCUCCUCCUCUUCCUUCACUUCCUCCUCCUCCUCUAUCUCUUCUCCCCCUCCCUCUCCACUGCAUCCCCAUGCACCCCCUCCACCAGCCCCCCAGAUUUCUCCUCCUUACCCCCAUCUCUGGCUCCUCCUUUGGGGAGGCAAUAUUGAAACUCUGGCCCCGGCCCCCCCACCACAUUUCUCUGGCUCCAUCCGAGGAUGGAGCAUUAAGGGUAGGAAACCUUAAGGAUGCUCAGUCCCUCUGGGAAGGGGCUUAAUCUUAGAGCUGAGAAAAAGGAGAUUAAACAGAGGGGCAGGUGGGAGGACACAAGAAGAAGCACUUGAGGUGCCCAGAGCACAGUUUAGGGGUCUUGAAAGAUGCGACUAGCCCAGCCUGAGUUGGCUCCUCGGAGGAAACUUCAGUCGACUCUGGAGAAGGCGGAGAGCUGCCCAGCCCCUUAAAGGAGAAUACACACUGUCUUGGAAAAGUAGAAAGGAAAUGGAGGAGCCUCAGAAAGAUAAGGACAAUGAGGAACAGAGACAAAACUGGACUCCCUGCUUUACCCCAAUCUUACAGCCUACUCUUUCUGUAUGAGUAUUGAAGAUGGAGAGGGGCAGUAAUUUUUUUUUUUUUUUUUUUUUUUUUGAGAUAGGAUCUCACUGUGCAAUGCAGGCUGGCCUUGAACUAUGUAGGCCACGUUGGCAUCAAACUCACCAUGAUGCUCCUACCUUAGCUCACUGAGUGCUGUGAUUACAGGUGUGCACUACCAAACUCAGCAGUGAUUACUGGUUAUUAAACUGUAAUAAUCUGGACUACCUCUCCAGACUUUGUGAUGACUUCCCUUCCAUGGGAGGCAUAGUGUCUAUCUGCCCAUGUCUGUGUGUUAAGGAAGUCAGAGUAGAAAUGCAAAGUAGUUCUGCCAUCUUAACUGCCUCUCUUGAUAAACUUACCAAAAGUAGUUGAGAAGGGGAAAUAAAAUGGAAUUGGACUCAAAAUUUUGCUAGGGAGAUUUAAGAAGUGAGAGUGAGUGAUCAGCAAAUCAGAAAGUUUGUGUGUAUCUUUCUCCAAAGAGUACAAAACACACAUCAAGCAUGGAGUACAAAGGAGUGGGAGAGAGGUUGAGAGAUUCCCAGGCCGUAGCUGCAACACAGGCUCAUUGGUGAGCAGGCUGGGUGAGGCCAGGGAGCCUGAGAGAAUCUCAUCGUCGUUUAACCAGUCUUGCUGAACACCCUGGGGCGCUGCUUCCUGGUCCAGUCCCAGCCACAGGCAAUAAAAGCCCCACAUUAUGUGACUCCACCCUCCUGCGACUCCACCCUCCCCUGGAGAAACUAGAUCUUCAAAUGAAUGUUUCAUGUCCCCACUCUUCACUUUCAUGACCACAGUCCCCCUCCCUCACCCCUGCAACCCAAGAAGUAAAGAUGGAGAGAAGGGGGAGGCAUGUAAUAAAGAUGCAGGCCAGGCUGCUUGGGGGCAGCAAUGCAAAAGCCUAUAUUUAGGAAUAAAAGACAGGAAAUAAAAUACAAAAUAAGAUUUAA